GAGUUUGAUCGUGGCUCAGGAUGAACGCUGGCGGCGUGCUUAACACAUGCAAGUCGAACGAAGCGCCUUAUUUGAUUUUCUUCGGAACUGAAGAUUUGGUGACUGAGUGGCGGACGGGUGAGUAACGCGUGGGUAACCUGCCCUGUACAGGGGGAUAACAAUCAGAAAUGACUGCUAAUACCGCAUAAGACCACAGCACCGCAUGGUGCAGGGGUAAAAACUCCGGUGGUACAGGAUGGACCCGCGUCUGAUUAGCUGGUUGGUGAGGUAACGGCUCACCAAGGCGACGAUCAGUAGCCGGCUUGAGAGAGUGAACGGCCACAUUGGGACUGAGACACGGCCCAAACUCCUACGGGAGGCAGCAGUGGGGAAUAUUGCACAAUGGGGGAAACCCUGAUGCAGCAACGCCGCGUGAGUGAAGAAGUAUUUCGGUAUGUAAAGCUCUAUCAGCAGGGAAGAAAGUGACGUACCUGACUAAGAAGCCCCGGCUAACUACGUGCCAGCCGCCGCCGUAA
rnacentral:rRNA from 1 species